AGUGAACGCUGGCGGUAGGCCUAACACAUGCAAGUCGAACGGCAGCACAGGAGAGCUUGCUCUCUGGGUGGCGAGUGGCGGACGGGUGAGGAAUACAUCGGAAUCUACUUUUUCGUGGGGGAUAACGUAGGGAAACUUACGCUAAUACCGCAUACGACCUACGGGUGAAAGCAGGGGACCUUCGGGCCUUGCGCGAUUGAAUGAGCCGAUGUCGGAUUAGCUAGUUGGCGGGGUAAAGGCCCACCACGGCGACGAUCCGGAGCUGGUCUGAGAGGAUGAUCAGCCACACUGGAACUGAGACUCGGUCCAGACUCCUACGGGAGGCAGCAGUGGGGAAUAUUGGACAAUGGGCGCAAGCCUGAUCCAGCCAUACCGCGUGGGUGAAGAAGGCCUUCGGGUUGUAAAGCCCUUUUGUUGGGAAAGAAAUCCAGCUGGCUAAUACCCGGUUGGGAUGACGGUACCCAAAGAAUAAGCACCGGCUAACUUCGUGCCAGCCGCCGCAGUAA
rnacentral:rRNA from 1 species